CAUUAGUCUUUUAAUUGAAGGCUGGAAUGAAUGGUUGGACGAGGUAUAAACUGUUUCAUAUAAAUUUAUUAUAGAAUUUUAUUUUUUAGUUAAAAAGCUAAAAUUUUAUUAAAAGACGAGAAGACCCUAUAAAUCUUUAUAGUUUAUUUUUCUUAAGUUUUUUGGAUUAAUUUUAUUUUUGUAGAAUAAAUUAUUUUGUUGGGGUGAUGUUAAAAUUUAAAAAACUUUUAAAAUUUAAAAUCAUUAAUUUAUGAAUUAUUGAUCCGUUAAUAGCGAUUAUUAGAUUAAGUUACUUUAGGGAUAACAG
rnacentral:rRNA from 1 species